AUUGAACGCUGGCGGCAUGCUUUACACAUGCAAGUCGAACGGUAACAGGUUAAGCUGACGAGUGGCGAACGGGUGAGUAAUGCAUCGGAACGUGCCCGAUCGUGGGGGAUAACGCAGCGAAAGCUGCGCUAAUACCGCAUACGAUCUGAGGAUGAAAGCGGGGGACCGUAAGGCCUCGCGCGAUCGGAGCGGCCGAUGUCAGAUUAGGUAGUUGGUGGGGUAAAGGCCCACCAAGCCGACGAUCUGUAGCUGGUCUGAGAGGACGACCAGCCACACUGGGACUGAGACACGGCCCAGGCUCCUACGGGAGGCAGCAGUGGGGAAUUUUGGACAAUGGGCGGAAGCCUGAUCCAGCAAUGCCGCGUGCAGGAAGAAGGCCUUCGGGUUGUAAACUGCUUUUGUACGGAGCGAAAAGGUCCUUUCUAAUACAAGGGGCUCAUGACGGUACCGUAAGAAUAAGCACCGGCUAACUACGUGCCAGCCGCCGCCGUAAAAC
rnacentral:rRNA from 1 species